UCCAACUUGAGAGUUUGAUCCUGGCUCAGAGCGAACGCUGGCGGCAGGCUUAACACAUGCAAGUCGAGCGGGCAUAGCAAUAUGUCAGCGGCAGACGGGUGAGUAACGCGUGGGAACGUACCUUUUGGUUCGGAACAACACAGGGAAACUUGUGCUAAUACCGGAUAAGCCCUUACGGGGAAAGAUUUAUCGCCGAAAGAUCGGCCCGCGUCUGAUUAGCUAGUUGGUGAGGUAAUGGCUCACCAAGGCGACGAUCAGUAGCUGGUCUGAGAGGAUGAUCAGCCACAUU
rnacentral:rRNA from 1 species